rnacentral:rRNA from 1 species
ACUCCUACGGGAGGCAGCGGUGGGGAAUCUUGCACAAUGGAGGAAACUCUGAUGCAGCGAUGCCGCGUGAGUGAAGAAGGCCUUUGGGUUGUAAAGCUCUUUUGUAGGGGAAGAUAAUGACUGUACCCUAAGAAUAAGGUCCGGCUAACUUCGUGCCAGCAGCCGCGGUAAUAC